UAGGGAAUCUUCCGCAAUGGGCGAAAGCUUGACGGAGCAACGCCGCGUGAGUGAUGAAGGUCUUCGGAUCGUAAAACUCUGUUAUUAGGGAAGAACAAAUGUGUAAGUAACUAUGCACGUCUUGACGGUACCUAAUCAGAAAGCCACGGCUAACUACGUGCCAGCAGCCGCGGUAAUACGUAGGUGGCAAGCGUUAUCCGGAAUUAUUGGGCGUAAAGCGCGCGUAGGCGGUUAGAUAAGUCUGAAGUUAAAGGCAGUGGCUCAACCAUUGUAGGCUUUGGAAACUGUUUAACUUGAGUGCAGAAGGGGAGAGUGGAAUUCCAUGUGUAGCGGUGAAAUGCGUAGAUAUAUGGAGGAACACCGGUGGCGAAAGCGGCUCUCUGGUCUGUAACUGACGCUGAGGCUCGAAAGCGUGGGUAGCAAACAGG
rnacentral:rRNA from 1 species